rnacentral:rRNA from 1 species
AGAGUUUGAUCCUGGCUCAGGAUGAACGCUAGCGGCAGGCCUAAUACAUGCAAGUCGAACGGGCUGAAGUAGCAAUACUUCAGUUAGUGGCGCACGGGUGCGUAACGCGUAUGCAACCUACCUUUUAUUGGGGGAUAGCCCGAAGAAAUUCGGAUUAAUACCGCAUAAUAUCAUUUGAGGGCAUCUGAAGAUGAUGAAAGCUACGGCGAUAAAAGAUGGGCAUGCGUGUCAUUAGCUAGUUGGUGUCAGGUAACGGCUCACCAAGGCGACGAUGACUAGGGGUUCUGAGAGGAUGAUCCCCCACACUGGUACUGAGAUACGGACCAGACUCCUACGGGAGGCAGCAGUAGGGAAUAUUGGGCAAUGGCCGAAAGGCUGACCCAGCCAUGCCGCGUGCCGGAUGAAGGCCUUCUGGGUUGUAAACGGCUUUUACCAGGGAAGAAAAUACCUUUGCGAAGGGAACUGACGGUACCUGGUGAAUAAGCACCGGCUAACUCCGUGCCAGCAGCCGCGGUAAUACGGAGGGUGCAAGCGUUGUCCGGAUUUAUUGGGUUUAAAGGGUGCGUAGGCGGCGUAGUAAGUCCGUGGUGAAAGCCAACAGCUCAACUGUUGAACUGCCAUGGAUACUGCUAGGCUUGAGUACAGACGAGGUAGGCGGAAUGGAUAGUGUAGCGGUGAAAUGCAUAGAUACUAUCCAGAACCCCGAUUGCGUAGGCAGCUUACUAGGCUGUAACUGACGCUGAGGCACGAAAGCGUGGGGAGCGAACAGGAUUAGAUACCCUAGUAGUCC